UCCUGAACAACAACAAGAAGCCUGCGUGUUAUCCAGUUUGUACACAACGAUGGAGAAACUUAACAAAAGCAGUGGUCCACUGAAGAGACCAGCUACCUACUGUGAAUCUGGUCUUCCGAAGAGGUACAGAGGAAGCUGGAGGGGAGCAUGCGGUCCAAAGCAAUUCUCCAACAAUUGCAGAAACAGAUGGCAACCGCUGGUUUUUACCGUACCGUGGAACAGAUUGGCAACAAAUUAAAAAAAGUCAAGAAGGACUAUCGGGACCAAAAGCGAGACCUCGGACGGAGUGGUAGCGGUCGUCCGAAAACAAGUUCACAUUAUGACAUGCUAGACUCGGUCCUCGGGGACAGACCGACGAGUGGUUUUGGAUCUACGGUGAACUCACUUUCUCUCACGUCGAUGAUGUUGCAGGACGAGUCGCUGAAUGUGCAGAGCUCAUUUGAUGCCGAAAUAUCUGCACAAGCAGCUCUUCCCAGGAAUCUCUGGUGAACCUAAUCCAGCCAGUGGGCCGACACAAACAGGUUAAAAGGAAGCGGGAUUUAUCAUCUGGCCUUCUGGAGUAUCUGGAGAAAAGUGAGGACAGGGAGGAAAGGCUUCAGGAGCAGGGCCAGGCAUUGCUUAAGGAGCAGGGCCAGGCGAUGCUUAAGGAGCAGGGCCAGGCGAUGCUUCAGGAGGUGCAUGUGGCCAAUGCUGAGUGAGUUCCUACGAGUUUUCACCAGAAUCGAGCAGAACAGCCACUCAAUGCUUGGCAUGGUAGACAGGCUUGUGAAGGUGAUGGAGGCCAACAACAAAAGCUGACCAUAUUUUUUUUUUGUAUACACGUUCUUUUUUUGUAUACACAUUAUUAUUAUAGUAUAUUCGCCAAACUUUUUGGUGAAUUAUUGUCCAUACAUGUCUUUGAUUUGUACAAUAAACAAAAUUCAAAAGUCAUGUCUGAUCCAUGGAUUUUAUUGAAAAAACGGAUAGGCAUGUGUAUUUGAGUUAAGAAUAUAGUCUAAACCGUUUGGGUAUGCACUUUUUUUAUAAGAAUAUAGUCUAAACCGCAGAAAUGACUCUGGAAACGCUGCAGAUAGAGCCAUAAGAAAGGAAUGCAACUGAUUUAAUGUGUAAUCUUUUUAUAGGCAAC